UACGGGGGGGGCAAGCGUUGUUCGGAAUUACUGGGCGUAAAGGGCUCGUAGGCGGCCUUCUAAGUCAGACGUGAAAUCCCCCGGCUUAACCUGGGAACUGCGUCUGAUACUGGGAGGCUUGAGUAUGGGAGAGGGAUGUAGAAUUCCAGGUGUAGCGGUGAAAUGCGUAGAUAUCUGGAGGAAUACCGGUGGCGAAGGCGGCAUCCUGGACCAUAACUGACGCUGAGGCGCGAAAGCUAGGGGAGCAAACGGG
rnacentral:rRNA from 1 species